CAUUUUAUUUUAAAGAGCUAUGAUAUCCAGUAUUUUUCCAUGAGAGAUAUGGAUUGCCUUGGUAUCCAGAAGGUCAUGGAACAAACAUUUGAUCUGCUGAUUGGCAAGAAACAAAGACCAAUCCAACUGAGUUUUGAUAUUGAUGCAUUUGACCCUACACUGGCUCCAGCCACAGGAACUCCUGUUGUAGGAGGACUAACUUAUCGAGAAGGCACAUAUAUUGCUGAGGAAAUACACAAUACAGGGUUGUUGUCGGCACUGGAUCUUGUUGAAGUCAAUCCUCAGUUGGCCACCUCAGAGGAAGAGGCAAAGACUAGAGCUAACGUGGCAGUGGAUGUGAUUGCUUCAAGUUUUGGUCAGACAAGGGAAGGAGGGUACAUUGUCUAUGACCAACUUCCUACUCCCAGUUCACCAGAUGAAUCAGAAAAUCAAGCACGUGUGAGAAUUUAGGAGAUACUGUGCACUGACAUAUUUCACAACGGGCAUUCCAGAAUUAUGAGGCAUUUGAGGGGACAGAUACUAAAUGGUUGUCUGGUCAAUACUGCCUUAAUGAGAAUAUCUGCAUAUUCUCACAAUUGUAAAGUUUCGCCUCUGUUUUGGUGACGAAUACUACUAUAAAUGUAUUUGUGUUUUUUUGCAGUUCACAGGGCAUUAAUAUGCUACAGUACUAUGUAAAUUUAAAGAAGUCAUAAACAGCAUUUAUUACCUUGGUA